GUGGGGAAUCUUGCGCAAUGGGCGAAAGCCUGACGCAGCCAUGCCGCGUGAAUGAUGAAGGUCUUAGGAUUGUAAAAUUCUUUCACCGGGGACGAUAAUGACGGUACCCGGAGAAGAAGCUCCGGCUAACUUCGUGCCAGCAGCCGCGGUAAUACGAAGGGGGCUAGCGUUGCUCGGAAUUACUGGGCGUAAAGGGCGCGUAGGCGGACAGCUUAGUCAGAGGUGAAAGCCCAGGGCUCAACCUUGGGAUUGCCUUUGAUACUGGCUGUCUUGAGUUUGGGAGCGGUGAGUGGAACUCCGAGUGUAGAGGUGAAAUUCGUAGAUAUUCGGAAGAACACCAGUGGCGAAGGCGACUCACUGGCCCAAUACUGACGCUGAGGCGCGAAAGCGUGGGGAGCAAACAGGAUUAGAAACCCUGGUAGUCC
rnacentral:rRNA from 1 species